rnacentral:rRNA from 1 species
UGGGGAAUAUUGGACAAUGGGCGAAAGCCUGAUCCAGCCAUGCCGCGUGUGUGAAGAAGGUCUUCGGUUUGUAAAGCUCUUUAAGUUGGGAGGAAGGGCAGUAAGCGAAUACCUUGCUGUUUUGACGUUACCGACAGAAUAAGCACCGGCUAACUCUGUGCCAGCAGCCGCGGUAAUACAGAGGGUGCAAGCGUUAAUCGGAAUUACUGGGCGUAAAGCGCGCGUAGGUGGUUCGUUAAGUUGAAUGUGAAAGCCCCGGGCUCAACCUGGGAACUGCAUCCAACACUGGCGAGCUAGAGUAGGGCAGAGGGUGGUGGAAUAUCCUGUGUAGCGGUGAAAUGCGUAGAUAUAGGAAGGAACACCAAUGGCGAAGGCGACAACCUGGGCUCAUACUGACACUGAGGUGCGAAAGAGUGGGGAGCAAACAGG